rnacentral:rRNA from 1 species
UGGGGAAUAUUGCACAAUGGGCGCAAGCCUGAUGCAGCCAUGCCGCGUGUAUGAAGAAGGCCUUCGGGUUGUAAAGUACUUUCAGCGGGGAGGAAGGCGAUAAGGUUAAUAACCUUGUCGAUUGACGUUACCCGCAGAAGAAGCACCGGCUAACUCCGUGCCAGCAGCCGCGGUAAUACGGAGGGUGCAAGCGUUAAUCGGAAUUACUGGGCGUAAAGCGCACGCAGGCGGUCUGUCAAGUCGGAUGUGAAAUCCCCGGUCUCAACCUGGGAACUGCAUUCGAAACUGGCAGGCUAGAGUCUUGUAGAGGGGGGUAGAAUUCCAGGUGUAGCGGUGAAAUGCGUAGAGAUCUGGAGGAAUACCGGUGGCGAAGGCGGCCCCCUGGACAAAGACUGACGCUCAGGUGCGAAAGCGUGGGGAGCAAACA